CGCCAAAACGCCACGCGACUCCGUGCCGACGGCACCACGGAGCCAGCACUCACAGCCUCCUCGUCGUGAACAUCGGGUACACGCGCGCGUUAAAUUAUUAUCACCGAGUCGCCCCUCCCCACUUUUUCCCGGAGGCGAGUGUUUAACCGGUUAAAUAAUAAAUAAAUGUCUGUGAUUCACCUUAAAUUCAGAUCGACAAAAUAUUUGUUGUCAUGGUGAGGUAGCAUGAUUAAUUAAUUCCGGAGAUUGCAGUGCGGUUUGUCUUGUCUUUGAUCAAUCUGACAACAACUUCAACUGUGAUUUACUCAACUGUGAUUUCGUGAGACUGUGGCUGAAGAUCCGGGAGAAACGCCGCGGGGGAAUCUUGUGAAAAAAAAGCGUUCAAAGGCCCGAAGAUUCUGCCUUCGCAGCAAUUGGGCGCUGCGGUCGCUCCAUGGCCGGGCGCGACUGGCCUCCUGGCCUCUGUUACCGCUGACGACAUGGCGCAUAAAGGUCACAGUGGUGUAAAUCAGCUGGGCGGUGUCUUCGUCGGUGGUCGACCGCUCCCGGACUCAACGCGACAGAAAAUCGUCGAGUUGGCGCAUUCUGGUGCACGUCCAUGUGACAUCUCCAGGAUACUUCAAGUCAGCAAUGGUUGUGUAUCGAAGAUACUUGGAAGGUAUUACGAGACGGGCUCGAUACGACCGAGGGCAAUAGGUGGUAGUAAACCCCGAGUGGCAACAGCGGAGGUAGUAGGUAAAAUUUCCAUGUACAAGAGUGAAUGUCCAUCGAUAUUCGCAUGGGAGAUACGCGACCGAUUGCUCCAAGAAGGCGUCUGCACCAAUGACAACAUACCCAGUGUGUCGUCCAUCAACAGGGUACUGAGGAAUCUAGCCGCGCAGAAGGAGCAGAGACAACAGCAUCAGCAGCAACACAAUCCCCAGCAGCAACAGGGGGUGGGAGUUGGUGCUGGUAGUCCAUCUGACAGUGUUUACGAUAAGUUGAGGUUGCUCAACGGUCAGACAACUGGUUGGCCGAGACCAAAUCCUUGGUAUCCAACUGGUGCUGGAAGUCCAUUUCCAUCUCUCCAGCCGUCUCUGAGUCCGAGUCACUGUACAGCACUGCCCCCAGAUCCAGCAGACAUUCUCCACACGAAGAAAGUGGCUGAGUUGGAAGGUGGAGCUCACUCAGACGAGACAAACAGCGGUGGAGAUAACAGCAAUGCCGGUAGUGUAUCCGGUGGCGGUGACGACGAUCAAGCACGACUCAGAUUAAAACGUAAGCUCCAGCGAAAUCGCACGAGUUUCACGAACGAGCAGAUCGACGCCCUAGAGAAAGAAUUCGAGAGGACCCACUACCCAGACGUCUUCGCCCGGGAGAGAUUAGCGGGAAAAAUUGGCCUCCCUGAGGCGCGAAUACAGGUAUGGUUUUCGAAUCGACGCGCAAAGUGGCGACGGGAGGAGAAAUUGAGGACACAGAGGAGGGACAAUGGUGGACAGCAGCAGUCGAGUCAACAGCAGCAGCAACCACCCCAACAACAACCACAGCACGCUGGGGGUGUUAGUCUUGGCCAUCUAACCCCACCACCCUCUAUUCUUGGUGGUCAAGCCCCUCCACAGGGACCACCAUCACCACCAAGAAUUCAUCAUGGAUUCGCUCCCACUGCUGUUUACCCGGGAAUACCAAGCAUGCCAGAUUCAUACAGUCCCAUGACGUCCAUGCCAAGCUUCACAAUGUCCGGCCAACAGAGCCAGCAGCACACAACCAGCAUGUCCUCCCUGUCGUCCGGUGGAAUGGGUCCAAUGGGAAUGACAGUCGGCAUGACGGUAGGACCGAGUCCGGCUGCCUGUCUCCACCAGCGCGACAACGGCUACUCAUGUGGGGUAGCACGACCCCCGAGCUACGAACCCCUACACCUGGGCUACGGUGGGCGUCCUUCGUGCAGUCCAACGCAACCCUAUCACACAACUGGCUUGAAUCAAUACAACCAGAAUGCCAGCUCGACUGGUGAGUGUCUACCGCACUCACUGCACUCGCUGCUAGCUCUCUAGCCGCACGUGGGACUCGGCUAUCAUCACGCCCGUGGAUUACCAUAAGAACAGCUUGACACAAUCGGGCUUGAUAUCACCAGGCGUGAGUGUCCCCAUUGCCGUGCCAGGACAACCAGCACCGGAGAUGUCAGCCCAGUACUGGUCCCCGAGGCUGCAGUGACCGUGGUGAUCGUCCACGUCGACCCCAACGUAAUAACCGUCACCUAAAAUCGUCGUGAAAGACCGGUCCUCGUGUGUACGAUCUAAAUAUCACCUCCACUGCCACCCUCUCUCUUAAAAAAAAUAUACAAAAAAAAUUGGUCUCUUAGCGUCAAGUCAAAGAGCAUCGUUAAGUUUGUUAUCACAAGAAUCAUUUAGUAAACUUAUUUCACAUGUAGAAAAAAAAAAUGAAGGUAGGUAAAUCAAAGAAUUAUUCGAAAUGAAGGAAACUAGUUGUUAAGUCGAUAUUAUUAGUAAUAUUUAUAUAUUCGUGUAACGAGAAAAAGAAAGUGAUGAUGAAGAAAAAAUAAUAAUAAAUCGGUCGAUGAAUGUCGUGUGUGCACACCCCGAAUUGAUCCCCCAUUUUCCCUGACUAUUUUCCAUUAUAAUUAAUUAUGGCAUUGGCGGCAUAAAGAUGGCAACAAAGUUUUAAUUAAACGUCAAUUCACUAUUAUAUAAAUAAUUACAUGUCUCUAUUGUAUAUGAUCGCCCGUGACUUUUAAUUAAUUGUGAAAUAAAGAGAACGGAUGCAAAUUUAAUCAAGAGAAUGAAAAAGAUUUUUUUUUUUUAAUUAUAAUGAAUUGACCGAAUUGUGAUUUGUCUUUUAGGCCAGAGUAAUGUUUUAAGCGUACAAUUAUACGAUUCUAAAUAAAAUAUAGAUAGCGUGUGCUUUAAUCAGAGUUAAAGAGAAACCCUUCUUCACCGUCCUCAAACUGUCCAGCAAAUUUCGCUCGAA